CCUACGGGAGGCAGCAGUGGGGAAUAUUGGACAAUGGGCGAAAGCCUGAUCCAGCCAUGCCGCGUGUGUGAAGAAGGCCUUCGGGUUGUAAAGCACUUUCAGUGGGGAAGAAAGCCUUGGGGCUAAUACCCUCGAGGAAGGACAUCACCUACAGAAGAAGCACCGGCUAACUCCGUGCCAGCAGCCGCGGUAAUACGGAGGGUGCGAGCGUUAAUCGGAAUUACUGGGCGUAAAGCGCGCGUAGGCGGUCUGAUAAGCCGGUUGUGAAAGCCCCGGGCUCAACCUGGGAACGGCAUCCGGAACUGUCAGGCUAGAGUGCAGGAGAGGAAGGUAGAAUUCCCGGUGUAGCGGUGAAAUGCGUAGAGAUCGGGAGGAAUACCAGUGGCGAAGGCGGCCUUCUGGACUGAAACUGACGCUGAGGUGCGAAAGCGUGGGUAGCAAACAGGAUUAGAUACCCCAGUAGUC
rnacentral:rRNA from 1 species